rnacentral:rRNA from 1 species
AGUGGCGGACGGGUGAGUAAUGUAUGAGCAACCUGCCUUUCAGAGGGGGACAACAGUUGGAAACGACUGCUAAUACCGCGUAACGUAUCGUGGGGGCAUCCUCGUGAUACCAAAGGAGCAAUCCGCUGAAAGAUGGGCUCAUAUCUGAUUAGCUUGUUGGCGGGGUAACGGCCCACCAAGGCGACGAUCAGUAGCCGGACUGAGAGGUUGAACGGCCACAUUGGGACUGAGAUACGGCCCAGACUCCUACGGGAGGCAGCAGUGGGGAAUAUUGGGCAAUGGGCGAAAGCCUUACGACCCAGCAACGCCGCGUGAAGGAAGAAGGUCUUCGGAUUGUAAACUUCUUUUAUGAGGGACGAAGGACGUGACGGUACCUCAUGAAUAAGCCACGGCUAACUACGUGCCAGCCGCCGC